rnacentral:rRNA from 1 species
GACGAACGCUGGCGGCGUGCUUAACACAUGCAAGUCGAACGGAAAGGCCCUGCUUGCAGGGUACUCGAGUGGCGAACGGGUGAGUAACACGUGGGUGAUCUGCCCUGCACUUCGGGAUAAGCCUGGGAGACUGGGUCUAAUACCGGAUAGGAGCCAUUUUUAGUGUGAUGGUUGGAAAGUUUUUUCGGUGUAGGGUGAGCUCGCGGCCUAUCAGCUUGUUGGUGGGGUAAUGGCCUACCAAGGCGGCGACGGGUAGCCGGCCUGAGAGGGUGGACGGCCACAUUGGGACUGAGAGACGGCCCAGACUCCUACGGGAGGGAGCAGGGGGGAAGAUUGAACAAGGGGCGCAAGGCUGAUGCAGCGACGCCGCGGGGGGGAUGACGGCCUUAGGGUUGUAAACUCCUUUCGCUAGGGACGAAGCUUUUUGUGACGGUACCUAGAUAAGAAGCACCGGCUAACUACGUG